rnacentral:rRNA from 1 species
GGACUACCGGGGUAUCUAAUCCUGUUUGAUCCCCACGCUGUCGCGCCUGAGCGUCAGUUACGGGCCAGUGAGCCGCCUUCGCCACCGGUGUUCUUCCCAAUAUCUACGAAUUUCACCUCUACACUGGGAAUUCCACUCACCUCUCCCGUACUCAAGCCUAACAGUUUCAAAGGCAAUUCCAGAGUUGAGCUCUGGGCUUUCACCCCUGACUUGGAAGGCCGCCUGCGCGCGCUUUACGCCCAGUAAUUCCGAACAACGCUAGCCCCCUUCGUAUUACCGCGGCUGCUGGCAC